UCCAGCUCACUCUCUACUCUGUACACACUAUGCGUAGAUUUCUUCCUUCCUUUUUACUCCAUUAGCUGGAAAAAGGAAAGGGAAAGAGAAAAGACAAUAGAAGGCAAUAGAAGAAUGAUGAGAAGAGGACUGAGGGGAGCUUCUGUAUUAUGUCACUGGCUUGUGAGUGAAGAAGCCUCACUAGAGGCUCAUUGUGGAACUAAAAGAAAGCACUUCCAAACUCACCACUAUGAUGCUAACUCAAGUCUUGAUGGACAUCACUUCCCUCAGCCUCCUCUCCCUUCUAUUUGGAGGGCUAGAGGGCAGAGUACCAAACUCCUCCCAAUGCCUUCCAUCAUAGGGAGCACAACACGGACUCUCAGAUUACUCCAAUUUGUAUCUGCUCCUGUACCUGAUUUCAGCUCCAUGGAACAAAAUGCCCUCUUACGGGGUACUACCUGGUGUUUCCCUCCUCCCCUGCUUCCCCGCCCCCUUUUGUGUUACCCCUGCCCUUUGGAUUGUAAACUCAUUGAGAGCAGAAACUGUCUUUCUUUUUAUUAAUUGUGUCUCCAGCACUUAGCACAGUGCC